rnacentral:rRNA from 1 species
GAUUAGUGGCGAACGGGUGAGUAACACGUGAGUAACCUGCCCUUGACUCUGGGAUAAGCCUGGGAAACUGGGUCUAAUACCGGAUACGACCAUCUGACGCAUGUCAUGGUGGUGGAAAGCUUUUGUGGUUUUGGAUGGACUCGCGGCCUAUCAGCUUGUUGGUGGGGUAAUGGCCUACCAAGGCGACGACGGGUAGCCGGCCUGAGAGGGUGACCGGCCACACUGGGACUGAGACACGGCCCAGACUCCUACGGGAGGCAGCAGUGGGGAAUAUUGCACAAUGGGCGCAAGCCUGAUGCAGCGACGCCGCGUGAGGGAUGACGGCCUUCGGGUUGUAAACCUCUUUCAGUAGGGAAGAAGCGAAAGUGACGGUACCUGCAGAAGAAGCGCCGGCUAACUACGUGCCAGCAGCCGCGGUAAUACGUAGGGCGCAAGCGUUAUCCGGAAUUAUUGGGCGUAAAGAGCUCGUAGGCGGUUUGUCGCGUCUGCUGUGAAAGACCGGGGCUCAACUCCGGUUCUGCAGUGGGUACGGGCAGACUAGAGUGCAGUAGGGGAGACUGGAAUUCCUGGUGUAGCGGUGAAAUGCGCAGAUAUCAGGAGGAACACCGAUGGCGAAGGCAGGUCUCUGGGCUGUAACUGACGCUGAGGAGCGAAAGCAUGGGGAGCGAACAGGAUUAGAUACCCUGGUAGUCCAUGCCGUAAACGUUGGGCACUAGGUGUGGGGGACAUUCCACGUUUUCCGCGCCGUAGCUAACGCAUUAAGUGCCCCGCCUGGGGAGUACGGCCGCAAGGCUAAAACUCAAAGGAAUUGACGGGGGCCCGCACAAGCGGCGGAGCAUGCGGAUUAAUUCGAUGCAACGCGAAGAACCUUACCAAGGCUUGACAUGAACCGGAAAGACCUGGAAACAGGUGCCCCGCUUGCGGUCGGUUUACAGGUGGUGCAUGGUUGUCGUCAGCUCGUGUCGUGAGAUGUUGGGUUAAGUCCCGCAACGAGCGCAACCCUCGUUCUAUGUUGCCAGCGCGUUAUGGCGGGGACUCAUAGGAGACUGCCGGGGUCAACUCGGAGGAAGGUGGGGACGACGUCAAAUCAUCAUGCCCCUUAUGUCUUGGGCUUCACGCAUGCUACAAUGGCCGGUACAAAGGGUUGCGAUACUGUGAGGUGGAGCUAAUCCCAAAAAGCCGGUCUCAGUUCGGAUUGGGGUCUGCAACUCGACCCCAUGAAGUCGGAGUCGCUAGUAAUCGCAGAUCAGCAACGCUGCGGUGAAUACGUUCCCGGGCCUUGUACACACCGCCCGUCAAGUCACGAAAGUUGGUAA